GAUGAACGCUGGCGGCGUGCCUAAUACAUGCAAGUCGAGCGAACAGACGAGGAGCUUGCUCCUCUGACGUUAGCGGCGGACGGGUGAGUAACACGUGGAUAACCUACCUAUAAGACUGGGAUAACUUCGGGAAACCGGAGCUAAUACCGGAUAAUAUAUUGAACCGCAUGGUUCAAUAGUGAAAGACGGUUUUGCUGUCACUUAUAGAUGGAUCCGCGCCGCAUUAGCUAGUUGGUAAGGUAACGGCUUACCAAGGCGACGAUGCGUAGCCGACCUGAGAGGGUGAUCGGCCACACUGGAACUGAGACACGGUCCAGACUCCUACGGGAGGCAGCAGUAGGGAAUCUUCCGCAAUGGGCGAAAGCCUGACGGAGCAACGCCGCGUGAGUGAUGAAGGUCUUCGGAUCGUAAAACUCUGUUAUUAGGGAAGAACAAAUGUGUAAGUAACUAUGCACGUCUUGACGGUACCUAAUCAGAAAGCCAAGGCUAACUACGUG
rnacentral:rRNA from 1 species